AAGGAGGUGAGUCCCGGCCCUCUUGGGAAUGGACAGGACCCAGGAGUGGGUCGGCCCUCACCGGGGUUUUAUAUGUUUCAGAAAAGCAGCAUCUGCUACCUGUCUUUUCCCGACUCGCACUCAGGCUGUCUUGGAGACACUCAGUUCAGCUUCCGCAUGCGCCAGUGUGGAGGGCAGAGGAGCCCCUGGCAUGCCGACGACAGGCACUACAACAGCAGGGCCCCUGUGGCACUGCAGAGGGAGCCGGCACACUACUUCGGCUACGUGUACUUCAGGCAGGUGAAGGACAGCUCUGUGAAGAGGGGCUACUUCCAGAAGGACAUUGCUGCCCCUCACUGAUGGCUGGAGGGUCAUCACACUGUCAGUGUCAGGGCAACCCAGCCUGGAAGCCAUAGGCAGAGAGUAAAAGCUGCUCAGCCCCUGGGGAGGUCGUUCUAGAAAUUCUGGCCACCGUGCGUUUCCCUCCGAAGGCCCUAGGGUCCAGCCCCACCGGCCGCCACCCAGGGAGUUCGGUGUUGGGUUUUCUCCU
rnacentral:sRNA from 1 species